rnacentral:rRNA from 1 species
UACGGAGGGUGCAAGCGUUGUCCGGAUUUAUUGGGUUUAAAGGGUGCGUAGGCGGCUUUGUAAGUCAGUGGUGAAAUAUGGCAGCUCAACUGUCAGGGUGCCAUUGAUACUGCGGAGCUUGAGUACAGAUGAGGUAGGCGGAAUUGACGGUGUAGCGGUGAAAUGCUUAGAUAUCGUCAAGAACACCGAUAGCGAAGGCAGCUUACUAGGCUGUAACUGACGCUGAGGCACGAAAGUGUGGGGAUCAAACAGG